UACAGAGGGUGCAAGCGUUGUUCGGAAUUAUUGGGCGUAAAGCGCGUGUAGGCGGCUUGGCAAGUCGGGUGUGAAAGCCCUCAGCUCAACUGAGGAAGUGCGCCCGAAACUGCUGAGCUCGAGUGCGGAGAGGGUGGCGGAAUUCCCCCAAGUAGAGGUGAAAUUCGUAAGAGAUGGGGAGGAACACCGGUGGCGAAGGCGGCCACCUGGACGAUUACUGACGCUGAGACGCGAAAGCGUGGGGAGCAAACAGG
rnacentral:rRNA from 1 species